UACGUAGGGGGCAAGCGUUGUCCGGAAUUAUUGGGCGUAAAGAGCGCGUAGGCGGUCGUGACAAGUCACUUGUGAAAUCUCCGGGCUUAACUCGGAACGGUCAAGUGAUACUGUCGGACUAGAGUACAGAAGGGGCAACUGGAAUUCUCGGUGUAGCGGUGAAAUGCGUAGAUAUCGAGAGGAACACCUGCGGCGAAGGCGGGUUGCUGGGCUGAUACUGACGCUGAGGCGCGAAAGCCAGGGGAGCGAACGGG
rnacentral:rRNA from 1 species